UACGAAGGGGGCUAGCGUUGCUCGGAAUCACUGGGCGUAAAGCGCACGUAGCAGACUCUUAAGUCGGUGGUGAAAUCCUGGAGCUCAACUCCAGAACUGCCUUCGAUACUGAGAGUCUUGAGUCCGGGAGAGGUGAGUGGAACUGCGAGUGUAGAGGUGAAAUUCGUAGAUAUUCGCAAGAACACCAGUGGCGAAGGCGGCUCACCGGCCCGGUACUGACGCUGAGGUGCGAAAGCGUGGGGAGCAAACAGG
rnacentral:rRNA from 1 species